UAUGUGCAGAUCAUGCAGGAUUGCUACAUAGAGCCACGUAAACCAGACUCCAAAUUUCCAAUUUGCUCUUUCUCCUCCGAGACACUGAGGAAGGAAGACUCUGUAGAGGUUGCAUUCUUCUUUGCUGCAGUAAGCAAUAAACUAAGCUUUGUGUUAUGCAGGCAGUUUUGAAGAAAUUGAAAGGUCUGUCACUACUUUUGGUGGACAUAGCCUAAGGAGGAUACAUUCUCAAUGAGCUACAUUUUUGAAUAAAUACCUCCUAUUCAAUACAGGUAGAAUUGCCAACUUACUUGCUUCUGAACAAUAGAAUCUGUCUAAAGAGAUGGCACAUCACUCCUUUGACUAGAUUACACACAUGGCAAAUGUGAAGGGGUUUUGCAUGUGUUAAGUACAAUUGAUAUUGUAUGAAUCAUAAGGUAGAUUAACCUUGGCAGACCUGAUACAGUCAUAUGAAAGCCCUUAAAAGACAAACUCAGCCCUUUUGUGAGACUCUCCUUCAAUGGUUUUAAAGAAGUUGUUACAUUGUGAGAGAGCCUUUGAGAGGUCAUCAGUUAUCAAUGAGAAAAAACUUGAAAAAUAAAAAUUGCCUGUGGUAGCAUGUAUUUUAUCCUUUUUGGAGGAAUUAAGAGUAUGGACAUAGCUAGGGGAUCAUAAAAUUUAUUAUUCAACAAGGACACAUUGAAAUGAAAGAAGGAAAGGUGAAAAAUUAAAUUGGAACGACAGGAGGGUACCAGGACUUCUCUUGGCAAACCAGACUUAGUAUCAGCAUCUUAGUCACUCCUGUUAUAAAGUACCUCCCAGGUAAUAGGUACAAUGCUUUCGUAUGUUCAUUUGCUGUCUCUAAAGAUUGGUUAUUUAAAAUUAGACUGUUCUACCCCCAUUGAAAAGUUUUAACCUAAAAAAAAUGUCAUUGGUCAUUCUAAAUCUAUUUAAAUUUCAACUGAGAAAACCAGUGUUUUAUGCUCUAAUUUUAGAUGUCUUAUUAUAGCUGUGUAGUGUUUCAUCUUUUACACACACAGUCUGACUUUAUUUCCGUUGCUCCUUUACCAGUUGCUUUAAACACAUUCUUCUUAGCUCAUCGUAACCUCUCUUUUGUUUUCCUUUUUGUUUCUUUUUAUUUUGGAGACAGUGUGGUAUAGGAAUUAAAAGUGCAGUGCUGGAUUCUGACUGCCUUGGAUCAAAUCUUGGCUCUACUAUUUAUGAUCAUUGACAACUUAAUUCAUCUUUCUGUGCCUCAAUGUUUUCACUUGUAGUUAUGAAUAAAAAGGGAGAUUUAAGAAGUAUCUGCUUCAUGGCUUGUAGAAAGAUAGUGUUGGGCACAUAGUUAAGCAGUCAAUAAAUACUAAUUCUCAUUAUUAGUUCCCUUUUAAUAAAGGUUCCAAGCAGGCCAAUUCACUUAGGUUUUGUAGUGUAACAUAACUUUUUUUAUAACUAAGAAAAUAAAAUUAAUGCUUUCUAAAAAUUAACUCGCUAGCUUAAAAGGAAACCUGCUUGGUAUCUUCUGACAAAUGAUUCUCUUUAGGCUUUGUUUGGCUCAAAGAAUAAUGUGGUAAUAUGCUAUUAAUAAUGAUAUCACUAAAUAAACAUUGGUCAUCAUUCAGAAUAAGUUUGAUAAAAUAAUUUAAAUGUGAGAAUAUCACUGCAUUGAAUAACUUCAGCUAUAAACUGGUAUUCUGUUUUCUUUACGUAAGGUAACUAUCUGCUGAUUUUAUCAGUCAUUGAAUAGAGGCAUUAGUUAAGUAGAUAGAGAUUAAAAAGUCCCCAAGUCCUUAACCAGUUCUCAAGGAAAUGAUUUUAAAACAAAGAACUAUGGCAAUGGAAAAAUGUCUGCAAAUUAAAGCCAAAACAUACUUCCGUGACUUUGGUCUUUAGAGACUAAAAUUCCAUCAGGAUUAACUGACUGAAGUUCUAAGCAUGUUUAAUAGUUCUGAAUCAAGUUCAAGUAUUCACAUUUACAAUCAGUGCCCUAGAAUUAGAUAUGGUUAAUCUGACAAUCAAGUUCAAUGGAAAAAUCAUUUCCAUGAGAACCACAGCACUGCUGAGUAUGGCAUAUCGCCUUUGGAAGGUGGAUACAUAUCCCAUGAAAUACACUUUAGAUGACUCUAUAGUAAAAAUUUAAUAAGCCUGGCUAGAGAAUGUUCACUAUGAUUCAUUUUGCUAAUUUGGUACAUUUGCUCAAAUUUCCAUUAAACUAAACAAAGAUCCAGUUACUCAAUUACCAAAAUAUUCAGUUUUAUGUUUCCAGAAAAAAAAUGCAAGGGAAAAAUGAAGGUGAUUCUUGAGAUGUGAGUCAAACAUCUCUCAAUAUUUUGGAAAGGUGAGUCACCUCUUGGAUAUAUUGUUUUCGGUUACAUCAUUUGGUAUAGAAAAAACCAAUGAUGACAUAAAACAGAAGCAAAGUAAUCUUCAAAGGAGAAAGUUAAGCAAUUUUUUCUUUCUUUCUUGCAUUUGUUGGUGAACUUGGAUAAGCCCAUAUAAGAAGAUAUUACAUAUCAAAAUAAGUUGAGAAAUGACUCUUGGAUUCAAGCUUCGUAUCCACAGGACAAAGUGAGCUAAAGAACCGAACAAUUUUCCAAAGAAUCUACAAAGUAUGAAUACUGUAAAUAGAAAAUUCAGAUCCUAGCCCUCCUUCUGAGAUGGGCAAAUGAUUCUUCUCUUUUCUUUGUUUGAAUAGCAUAGGCAUAAAUUUCAUAGAUAUUAUGAAUAAUUAUCCAAUUAAAUAUUAUUUAAUUUUAAUUUUCAAUAUUUUUCUCAGUUGCUUUGUAUAAGAUUUAAAGGUGUUUCCAACUUUCUUCUGGGUAGUUCUACACAGUAUUCUCCACAGGCACUUCAAAUUUUACAUGUCAAUUUAAUUUGUUAUUUCUUUUGUGGUCACACUUAAUUUGCCUUCUAUGUUCUAAACUAUAGUCAACAAUAUCACCAUCCGCUCAAUAGAUAAAGAAUAUUAAAAAUUGUAGAGGGAAGAAACUUAUUUAGCUUCAAUUAAACCAUGGUUUUCCAAUCACAGUUUUUUUUUUUUUUUUUUUUUUUUUUUUUUUUUUAGAAAAUACUCAUUAAGACUU